rnacentral:rRNA from 1 species
AUUGAACGCUGGCGGCAUGCCUUACACAUGCAAGUCGAACGGCAGCACGGGAGCAAUCCUGGUGGCGAGUGGCGAACGGGUGAGCAAUAUAUCGGAACGUGCCCAGUCGUGGGGAUAACGUAGCGAAAGCUACGCUAAUACCGCAUACGAUCUAUGGAUGAAAGCGGGGGAUCGCAAGACCUCGCGCGACUGGAGCGGCCGAUAUCAGAUUAGGUAGUUGGUGAGGUAAAGGCUCACCAAGCCGACGAUCUGUAGCUGGUCUGAGAGGACGACCAGCCACACUGGGACUGAGACACGGCCCAGACUCCUACGGGAGGCAGCAGUGGGGAAUUUUGGACAAUGGGCGCAAGCCUGAUCCAGCAAUGCCGCGUGCAGGAUGAAGGCCUCGG